GUGGCCUUGCCGGAGUGGUUGUCGGGCAUGAGUAGAAAUUAUGUGGGAUUUGCCCGCGCAGGUACGAAUCCUGCCAGCGACA
rnacentral:tRNA from 1 species